CUGCCCCCCAAUCCUCACUUUCUCAGUUUCUACUGCCUAUGUCUGCCUGAGGAUAGAUACCAGGAGGUGGUGGCAGUAACUGUGGCCUUAUCAGCUGCUCACUUCCAUACUUUUGCCCAAGUUUCUGGUGCCCCUGUUUCAAAGAUGUUGGCCCACUGGCCCCGGCCCUGACUUGGCUUGUCACCCUCCCCCACAAGUUGACACAUAUUUCAGAAGCUGCUCUUUUGGCCAGCUGGGUUGUGAUCUUUUGUGCUAUGCCUGCUCUUGGCAGAGCAUGGUGGUGGCUCUUUCUCUGCAAGGGCUUGAUGACAACCUCUACUCUAUAGGUAUGUGGGAGUCUCGGGUUCUCUUGGAGGCAACAAGGUCUUCAAUUGCCAGAUACAAAUAUAUACCCUAAAGCCAUUCCCCCAGAGCCCUAUCUCCUCUAGCCACACCCCACCUGCCUUCAGUUACCACUCAAUUAAUCCCUAUAAGGGGAUUAAUUCACUGAUUGGGUUAAGGCUCUCGUAACCCAAUUAUUUCUUUUCUAAACCUUCUUGCAUUGUCUCACAUGUGAACUUUUUGGGGGCACCUCACAUCUAAACCAUGACAUUCUGCCCCUGGCCCCCAAAAGCUCACACUCAUCUGACAAUGCAAAAUACAUUUAAUCCAUUCCCAAGAGUCUCCAAAGUCUUUUAAUAGUUCUGAGAUUGCUCAAAGUUCAAGUCCAAAGUCUUCUCUGAGGUUCAAGGCAAUCUUGCAUUGCAAGCUCCUAUAAAACUAAAAGCAAUUUACAAGUAUCCUAUAUAUAAAGGUACAGAGUAAACAUUUCCAUUCACAAAAAUAGGUGCAUAGAAAGAAUGGAUGGGACUAAAGCAAGACCAAAAUCCAGCUAUAAGUAGUUCUGUGUUUGGCAUCUGGAGCACAUGGCAUGAUGUCCUCUUCAAAGGGCUUAUGUAGCUCUACUCCUGUGGUCUUGUUGGUUGCAUCUCAAGGGGCCUUUCUGUUGGCUUGUCUCUGUUCAAUUCCUGCAGCUUUCCUAGGUCAAUGUCCCACGUUACUGGCAUUUUUUAAUCUUGGGGGUCUCCACUGCAGCUUUGGCUUUCUCCUCAAAUCUCUAUACUUUGUCUUCUCAGGGAGUGCUCACAGGGAAUCCGAUCCUGUGCGCUUUGCCUGGCUUCCAAGGCCUUCCUUUGAAAUCUUGGUGGAAGCCUCCAUGACCCACUAACUAUAGCAUCCUGCAUUCCUGCAGAACCAGCACCACGUGGUUGAUGCCAAGGUCUGCCACCAUUUGAGCAGUAGCCCAGCCUCCAGGGACCCUACCUGCAGCAGUCUCUGAGUGUGUGGGUGGCUGAGCACAUUCAAGACACUCCUUAGGCCCCCUUGUGCAAGAAGGAUCCCAUACUUGUCUCUUCUCAAGAGAAUUUUCACUUUUACUCCCUUGAACCUGAGAUGGGUGUGGUCUUUCCUGCACCUAAGAUGCCCUCAAGCCUUCUUUCUUAUUGUCUCUGGCAAAGUCUUCAGGAUUUCUUUAGUGGCAAUAAUGUCUUUAACAACUGCAAAGUCCUUAGGUUCAGUUUUACUACUGCCUUUCAAGUCCAAGUUUUCAAAUCUUUCUGCUCUGCUUUCUGCUUCCAAGUAUCAUAAUAAACUUGGCUUAAAGUUGCCAGAAAUACCCAUACCACUUCCUGAGUGCUAAGCUGCCUAGACAUUUCUUCUUUCAGAUUAAGAAAUCCAUUGCUUUUAAAACCAGCCUCACAGAAAGUCUCAGGACAUGGGCAAAAUGCAGACAGCUUCUCAGCACAUAACAUGAAUGGCCUCUGCUUCCAAAUUCCAAUAGAUACCUCCUUUUCUGAACAAUCUUGAGCCCUAUUUUCACUGUGCAUGGUCCUAUUGGCAUUCUAGUCUUAGCUCCCACCAGAAUCGGCCAUUAAGCUCCUCUUAAAACAACCUACAUUAAACAACCUAAACCAGCUCAUGCUGCUAAGCAUCUCAGAAUCCCUCCCACCUAUUCCAAAAUGCUCCAAAAGCUUCUGAACCACAUGGUCUGAUUAAUCACAGCAAUGGCCCCAUUCCUGGUAAAAUUUUGGUUUUAGUCAGCUAUUUACCACUAUGACUAAAAGACCCAACCAGCACAAUUAUAGAGGAGGAACAGUUUAUUUGAGGGCUCAUGGUUUCAGAGGUCUUAGUCCAUAGAAGUCUAUUUCUCAGGACUUGAGGUGAGGCAGAACUCAUGGCAGAAGAGUGUGGCAGAGGGAAGCAGCUCACAUGAUGAUCAGAAAGCAGAGAGAGACUGUGAUAUUUAACUCUUGUGCAAACCUAUGCUCUUUCACUGAAUCAGAUUGUGCCCCAAUUCAAUGCCUUUCUCUUCUGAUAUUAUGCAAAACACAAUAAAUCCAGCUUAUUCUAUUUUCCCUUCUUGUUUUCCUUAGCAAACCUUGUCUAUAUGGCAAAGUUUCAGUGGAUAUACCUGGCAGUAAAAUUUCUACUCCCUUAUUCUGUUCCUUGAACCAAAAUACUAUUUUCAAAACUUUGAAGGUUUUGGAAGUGAAGAACAAUAAGGAACAUAUACUUUUUUCUUGAGAUUUCUAAAAGUACUUUUCAAACUCAUUUCAAUCUUGUGCAGUUCAACCAAUAUUUAUCCAAUUACUUCUGUGUCCCCGGCACCACUUGCUAUGAGAACAGACAUGGGUCUCUCUUAGGAAGGUCGACAGCUUGAUUAGGUAGAAAACUAGGCAAGAGUCUAUAAAAAAUUUAAAUGAACUUAAUAGAAGCCAAAUCCAUAGUAAUAACUCAAAUAAGGAUAGAUAAGUGUAACUACAAGGAGCAGAUGGAACCUGAUAGGCACUGAGAAGACUCCAGGGGUAGUCCUUUCAGCCA
rnacentral:lncRNA from 1 species